AGGCGCUUGCUGAAGGCCUGUUACCUAGGCUACGUACGGGGGACAUGUUCCCCAUCUGCGCCUAGGGGAAAGUCCCCGGACCAAUGGCAGAAAGUGCCACGCACGCACGUGCGGUCUGGCCUAUGUCGCAGCUCCAUAUCUCCCUGCCAAGAAGUUCUUCAACCUCGGUUGAAGCACUGAGCGGAGGGAGCGCGAUGAGGCCGCCCUUAGUCAAGAACUGGAUAGUUACGCAGGCAGUGCGUCAUGCGCACCAACUCCACGGGGCUCAUUCUCAGCGCGUC
rnacentral:RNase_MRP_RNA from 15 species